CUUAUUAUCAGUGAUAUAUACAGUUAUCAGCUCUAUAUGUUUAUGUAUUGAUGUAUAUAAGCAUAGAAUACAUUAGUUAUCGGCUAUAUAUACAAUUACUAGUGUGAAAAAUACAUUGAUGUGUGUGUAAUGUUUGUGUAUGUGUAAAGUACAUAACUGUAUAUAUACAGUGUAUUAAUAUUUACUUUUAUGAAAAUACUGUUAAUGGCACAAAUUAAAGCUGAAAGCAUAAUUUUUUACUGAUAAAUAAGAAGCAGAGUGUGACUACAGGACCAAAUAAUCAAUAUUUUAUUGUUGAUUGUGUAAACUGUAAACUUACAGAAGCAAACAAUUGUACAUAUAGGAUUAGUUCCCCAAACUUAAUCCGUCAGCUCUGUUUCCUCAAGAAAAUGAAAAGCCCUCUUCAAACUAUCCCAAAUCAGAGAGAAAAACCCUUUUCAAACUAUCCCAAAUCAGCUUUUCAUCUUCCUAAAUCAGCAUCCCAUCUUCCUUUUCUCUCUCUUAAAAUUAGGUAAGGCCUCUUCCAUUAGAGUUCUUUCUUUUCUCUCUCUAAAAAUCACUUAGGGCGGCCCCUUCCAUUAGGGUUUGUGAAAACUAUUUUCUUCUUCUUUCUUCUUGCUAUAAACCCUAAUGGUUAUGAGCCAAGCCAUAUUUUCUUCUCUUCCUUUCCUUCGUCGUUCUUCUUCUUCUCUUUACACAGUAAACAUAGAUGUAAAUCCCAAAUUUAUAUGAACUUCUUCCAACUAAAGAAAUUUAUAAAACUUUAACCAUAGUUAUGGAGUGACCAUAGACACCAUACCAUAAUUAAAUAACUGUCGUGACAACAAAAAUCGUGUGUUUAUUUUUUGGUACCUGCUAAGUAGGAGUUAUGUUUAAGCAUUUAAUAAAUAAAUUUAUAGUAUAUUUAUUUGUUUUUGUAUGUAAUAAGUAAGUGUGAUGUUUCUUAAAGUAUUUAAUUGGUAGAUUU
rnacentral:lncRNA from 1 species